rnacentral:rRNA from 1 species
CUGGAAUCGAUCAGGCGACCGCACCCAGUCGGUUCGAGCAUGUGGUUUAAUCGAUGCAACGCGAAGAACCUUACCUGUCUUGACAUGCCACGGAAGUUUUCAGAGAUGAGAAUGUGCCUUCGGGAACUCGUGAGACAGGGUGCUGCAUGGCUGUCGUCAGCUCGUGUUGUGAAAAUGUUGGGUUAAGUCCCGCAACGAGCGCAACCCUUAUCCUUUGUUGCCAGCGGUCCGGCCGGGAACUCAAAGGAGACUGCCAGUGAUAAACUGGAGGAAGGUGGGGAUGACGUCAAGUCAUCAUGGCCCUUACGACCAGGGCUACACACGUGCUACAAUGGCGCAUACAAAGAGAAGCGACCUCGCGAGAGCAAGCGGACCUCAUAAAGUGCGUCGUAGUCCGGAUUGGAGUCUGCAACUCGACUCCAUGAAGUCGGAAUCGCUAGUAAUCGUGGAUCAGAAUGCCACGGUGAAUACGUUCCCGGGCCUUGUACACACCGCCCGUCACACCAUGGGAGUGGGUUGCAAAAGAAGUAGGUAGCUUAACCUUCGGGAGGGCGCUUA